rnacentral:rRNA from 1 species
ACUUAAGCAUAUCAAUAAGCGGAGGAAAAGAAACCAACAGGGAUUGCCCUAGUAACGGCGAGUGAAGCGGCAACAGCUCAAAUUUGAAAUCUGGCUCUUUCAGAGUCCGAGUUGUAAUUUGCAGAGGGCGCUUUGGCUUUGGCAGCGGUCCAAGUUCCUUGGAACAGGACGUCACAGAGGGUGAGAAUCCCGUACGUGGUCGCUAGCUAUUGCCGUGUAAAGCCCCUUCGACGAGUCGAGUUGUUUGGGAAUGCAGCUCUAAAUGGGAGGUAAAUUUCUUCUAAAGCUAAAUAUUGGCCAGAGACCGAUAGCGCACAAGUAGAGUGAUCGAAAGAUGAAAAGCACUUUGGAAAGAGAGUCAAACAGCACGUGAAAUUGUUGAAAGGGAAGCGCUUGCAGCCAGACUUGCUUGCAGUUGCUCAUCCGGGCUUUUGCCCGGUGCACUCUUCUGCAAGCAGGCCAGCAUCAGUUUGGGCGGUGGGAUAAAGGUCUCUGUCAUGUACCUCUCUUCGGGGAGGCCUUAUAGGGGAGGCGACAUACCACCAGCCUAGACUGAGGUCCGCGCAUCUGCUAGGAUGCUGGCGUAAUGGCUGUAAGCGGCCCGUCUUGAAACACGGACCAAGGAGUCUAACAUCUAUGCGAGUGUUUGGGUGUCAAGCCCGAGCGCGUAAUGAAAGUGAACGGAGGUGGGAACCCGCAAGGGUGCACCAUCGACCGAUCCUGAAGUUUACGGAAGGAUUUGAGUAAGAGCAUGGCUGUUGGGACCCGAAAGAUGGUGAACUAUGCUUGAAUAGGGUGAAGCCAGAGGAAACUCUGGUGGAGGCUCGCAGCGGUUCUGACGUGCAAAUC